GCCCGCGGUAAUUCCCAGCUUCAGUAGCAUCUAUUAAAGUUGCUGCGGUUAAAAGGCUCGCAGUUGAAUUUCAGUGCCGGGUGUCGGUAGGUGGACGUUGGAGCGCGAGAUCAAAGGUUGUCUGUGCUCUGUGCUGCCUUCGGGCUAGUGCGGUGUGCGGCAGCCUCUCGUAUACUCCCGUCCGUAACAAGCCUCCGCAUCCGAGUACAUAGUGGCGGUCUGUUCGGUCGGUUGGGCUGUUCGCGGUCCUCUCGGCUUAGACCGCCGGUGUCACCCUGAGUAAAUCAGAGUGCUCAAAGCAGUCGUGAGGGAUGCCUAGUGUGUCCCGUGAAAAGUCUUGACGGAUCGUCUUGAGUUUGCAUGGCAUGUUGGAAGAUGAUGUCGAGCGCUGGCCAGGAGCAGUAUCACUCGGUGGUGACGGCCAGCCUCGACGUAUGAUUAAAAGGGCUUGUCGAGGGCAUUGGUAUUGCGGAGCGAGAGGUGAAAUUCUAUGACCUUCGCAAGAACCGGCCCGAAGCGAAAGCGUCUGCCAAGGGAGGUUUUCAUUAAUC
rnacentral:rRNA from 1 species